CUAGAACAUAUCAGCCCUGUUGGUCCCUAGAACAUAUCAGCCCUGUUGGACCCUAGAACAUAUCAGCCCUGUUGGUCCCUAGAACAUAUCAGCCCUGUUGGUCCCUAGAACAUAUCAGCCCUGUUGGACCCUAGAACAUAUCAGCCCUGUUGGUCCCUAGAACAUAUCAGCCCUGUUGAACAUAUCAGCCCUGUUGGACCCUAGAACAUAUCAGCCCUGUUGGUCCCUAGAACAUAUCAGCCCUGUUGGACAUAUCAGCCCUGUUGGACAUAUCAGCCCUGUUGGUCCCUAGAACAUAUCAGCCCUGUUGGACAUAUCAGCCCUGUUGGACAUAUCAGCCCUGUUGGUCCCUAGAACAUAUCAGCCCUGUUGGACAUAUCAGCCCUGUUGGACAUAUCAGCCCUGUUGGACAUAUCAGCCCUGUUGAACAUAUCAGCCCUGUUGGUCCCUAGAACAUAUCAGCCCUGUUGGUCCCUAGAACAUAUCAGCCCUGUUGGACAUAUCAGCCCUGUUGGUCCCUAGAACAUAUCAGCCCUGUUGGUUCCUAGAACAU